GACGAACGCUGGCGGCGUGCCUAAUACAUGCAAGUAGGACGCAGUUGCGAACGGGUGAGUAACGCGUAGGUAACUACCUAUUAGAGGGGGAUAACUCUUGGAAACGAUAGCUAAUACCGCAUACUAGUAGAUGGACCUGCGUUUUAUUAGCUAGUAGGUAGGGUAAUGGCCUACCUAGGCAACGGUACAUAGCCGACCUGGGAAGGUGGUCGGCCACACUGGGACUGGGAAAAGGGCCCGACUCCCACGGGAGGCAACAGUAGGGAAUCUUCGGCAAUGGGGGGAACCCUGAACAAGCAACGCCGCGGGAGUGAAGAAGGUUUUCGGAUCGUAAAGCUCUGUUGUUAAGGAAGCGGUACUUAACCAGAAAGGGACGGCUAACUACGUGCCAGCAGCCGCGGUAAUAC
rnacentral:rRNA from 1 species